GCCAAAGGAAUUGAAUAUCUCCACACAGGCUGUGUUCCUGCCAUUAUACAUAGAGAUUUAAAGACCAGUAAUAUUCUUCUUGACAAACACAUGAGAGCAAAGGUUUCUGAUUUUGGUCUUUCAAAACUAGCAGUAGAUGGAGCUUCACAUGUCUCAAGCAUAGUUAGGGGCACAGUAGGGUAUUUGGAUCCAGAGUAAGUACUUUUUCUACUCUUUUUUCCCCACAUCAACUUAAGCAUCAUGUGGUGAGUUGAUAACCUAUUGCUUGUGUUAGCAGAUAACUUUUGAAAACUUUUAAUGAUUUGCAGUGCUAAGUGGCCUUAAAAUUAAUUAUUUACUUAUGGCAGACAGACGAACAAAUGGGACAUGUGAUAGUUGUCAAAUUAUGAGCCAUAAUUUUCUUUUCUUCCUGUGUGCUUGUGCACAUGUGUGUAUGGUCAUUAACAAGCCACAUAUCUUGUUUGUUUUAGAAAGGUUUUUGUUUGGUAAAAUAAUUGAGGACCUUUGUAAAAGAUGUGUCAAGUCCGUGAAUUCUAAUAAUUGUGCUGACAAUAUUGGUAUUUUCUCCCAUUUUGCUUUAUAAAAGUGAUUUCUGAAUGGUGAUGACAGAUUGUAUAGGACAUUGCACUAAUAAUUUUGCUUCUCAUGCACACAGGUAUUAUAUUUCUCAGCAGUUAACGGACAAGAGUGAUGUUUAUAGUUUUGGUGUCAUUCUCCUGGAGCUGAUGUCUGGUCAAGAAGCCAUAUCAAAUGAAAGCUUUGGUGUUAAUUGCCGAAAUAUUGUUCAAUGGGUAAGUUGGUGAGUUAUGUAAGGAUGUAAGGCUAGUAUGUUGCUGAAUUGCCAUAAUUGACAAUUUUCUGAACUCCUAACUGUUAAAUUAAGUUCCUGGAAAGUGCAAUAGCAUGUGAACGGCUGAAUGCUUACGGGGAGUUAAUUUCUGUAAUGUCUUCUACUUUGGCAGGCAAAGUUUCACAUCGAAAGCGGGGAUAUCCAAGGAAUUAUUGAUCCCUCACUACAUGAUGAGUAUGAUAUACAGUCUAUGUGGAAGAUAGCAGAGAAGGCUUUGAUGUGUGUCCAGCCUCAUGGACACAUGAGGCCAUCAAUUUCAGAAGUUCUCAAGGAGAUCCAAGAUGCUAUCCUAAUUGAAAGGGAAGCUGUGGCAGUGAGAGAAGGUAACUCAGAUGACAUGUCAAGGAAUUCUGUUCGGUCUUCACUCAACUUGGGUUCCUUGGAAUUUGGUGGCACUGAAAAUUACUUAUCCCUUGAUGCGACAGUUGCACAGCCAACAGCUAGAUAGUUUCUUGUUCAUGCACAGGUACUGAUUCAGCUUCAGGUGGAAAAAAAGUAAAUUUUUGGGUCCAUGUAGUCAUAUUCUUUGUUCUAGGAUUACAAUGGUGGAUUUGCUAUAUCAUGCUGGGAAAAUUAAGAGAACAUGUUAAUUUUUUGAGCUUGCAAAUUAUGUGUUCCUUUUUUGAUUGUAAAUUUUUUGCUCCUAGUAAAGUUAUGUUAUUUCAGCAGGGAAUUGAUGAAAAAAUGAAUCCAUUUUGGGUGAUCAAACACCCAUCAAUGUUAAGAAAGACAAUGAAAUCUCAGUCACAGGAUUUGAUUUUUGAUGCUGUUGGAUUGUUGCAAAAUUAGCCAAGCACGGAAAAUAGAUGAAACAUGAUGGAAGCAAUGGCAAGGUUUAUCACAUAAGACCACCACAAAAUUAAAACAAUUCAGUCAAUUUGUACAGGGAAAAUGUUUCCAGGAUAGUAACAUACAUCUUUAUAUAUAUUAAUUAUAUAAUAUUAAAAAUUAGUUUUAAAUUAAA
rnacentral:misc_RNA from 1 species